rnacentral:rRNA from 1 species
AGAACGAACGCUGGCGGCGUGGAUUAGGCAUGCAAGUCGAACGGAAUUUCUAGCUUUUUCGGAAAUUUAGUGGCGAAAGGGUGAGUAACAUGUGGGUAAUCUACCCAGAGGAUUGGGAUAACCUGUCGAAAGACGGGCUAAUACCGAAUGAGACCACGACUUCUUCGGAAGUUGAGGUCAAAGAUGGGGACCGUAAGGCCUGUCACCUUUGGAGGAGCCCGCAUCCUAUCAGCUUGUUGGUGAGGUAAUGGCUCACCAAGGCUAUGACGGGUAGCUGGCCUGAGAGGGUGGUCAGCCACAUCGGGACUGAGACACUGCCCGGACUUCUACGGAAGGCUGCAGUCGAGAAUCUUUCGCAAUGGGGGAAACCCUGACGAAGCGACGCCGCGUGCAGGAUGAAGGCCUUCGGGUCGUAAACUGCUGUCACUCGGGACGAACCGUAUCAUGGUUAAUAACCAUGGUACUCGACGGUACCGAGAAAGGAAGCCACGGCUAACUCUGUGCCAGCAGCCGCGGUAAGACAGAGGUGGCUAGCGUUGUUCGGAUUCAUUGGGUGUAAAGGGUGCGUAGGCGGUUUGGAAAGUCAAAUGUGAAAUCCCACAGCUCAACUGUGGAACUGCAUUUGAAACUUCCGAACUCGAGUGCGAGAGAGGUGAAGGGAAUUCCCGGUGUAAGGGUGAAAUCUGCAGAGAUCGGGAGGAACACCAGUAGCGAAGGCGCUUCACUGGCUCGUAACUGACGCUGAGUGCACGAAGGCGUGGGGAGCAAACGGGAUUAGAUACCCCGGUAGUCCACGCAGUAAACGAUGUUCACUAGGUGUCGGCCUCGUUAAAUCGGGGCCGGUGCCGCAGCUAACGCAUGAAGCACUCCG